GACGGAGAGUGCAAACGUUCGUUCGGAUUUACUGGGCGUAGAGGGCACGUAGGCGGCCAGGCAAAUCAGUUGUGGAAUCCCGACGCCUACCGUCGGAACGGCAAUUGAAAAUACCUGGCUCGAGGGCAUGAGGGGUCGCGGGAACGUCCUGGUGGAGCGGUGAAAUGCGUAGAUAUCUGGAGGAACACCGGUGGCGAAGGCGGCAUCCUGGACCGGCAUUGACGCUGAGGAGCGAAA
rnacentral:rRNA from 1 species